UUUUUUUUUGAAUACCAGAAGGUUCUGGGCCGAAGCCCGUAAUCCCUCCAAACCCGAAAUCACAACAUGUAAUAUUAAUUUUGUCCCAAACAUCAUAUAUAUAGCUAUUAACUAAUCUAUAUAUACAUUUUUGCAGCCAUUUUGUGAAAUAAAUCCUGGAGUUGGAACUUAUUUACAAUGGCUGCCACUGACUUUUAAUUAUUGGUUUUUUCAGCAAUAAAUUGAUUAACAAACGAAAAACAUUCCAAAUAUAUUCCAAUCCCAUAUAUCACGCAGAUUUUUCCAAAAUUUGAACUCGAUUUCGGCAACUAUUUAAAACAAAAAAUGUUUGACAACCCAAAAGACAAUUGCAAUCCCUUAAAAUGAGCAAAACGCAACUAAAUAUAUUUCUUAUCAAUUCACUAAAUCUUAUUUCUCCAAAAUUUGAACUAGAUUUCGACAACUAUUUAAAACAAAAUUUUGUUUGACAAACUAAAACACAAUUGCAAUCCCGUAAAAUAUUUAUUUUAAUUAUAAAUUUAAAUUAGCGGGGUACCGCAGUUUUUUUAACAGGACGGGUUUGGUGGAACGGGUUUGGAAGGACGUUACUUAAUAACAAUUGUAAACUAUAAAAUAAAAAUAUUUUAUAGAUAGAUAUAAUUUGCAAAAUUUUAUAUAUACUAAUUUAGAAAAAUAAAUUGUCUUCGCGGUGUACCGCGGGUUAAAAUCUAAUAUUAGUUUACUUUUGUUUCUACCAUAACAUCUACACGAUUUAUU
rnacentral:sRNA from 1 species